UAGGUGAACCUGCGGAAGGAUCAUUACUGAAGUACACACUUCACUACACCCCAGUGAACUGUCGUCCUCGGACGCUACACAAACUCUAUUGUUGUCAACGAAUGUACAGUUAUUCAUAACAAAUAUAACUUUUAGCAACGGAUCUCUUGGCUCUCGCAUCGAUGAAGAACGCAGCGAAAUGCGAUAAGUAAUGUGAAUUGCAGAAUAGUGAAUCAUCGAAUCUUUGAACGCACCUUGCGCCCAUUUUGGGCAUGCCGGUUUGAGCGCCUUAACAUCGUUGGGCUGCAGCUUCGGUUGCGGACCAGAAUUGAGUGCUGCCUUUGGCUCGCUCUGAAUGCAUGAGCGGUUAGAAACGCCCUGCGACGUAAUAAGUAUUCCGUUGUAGCGCGCUAUAAUCGCUUCGAAUCGUCCUCGGACAACAUACCAAAUGCUAGGCAUCAAAGUGGUAGGACUACC
rnacentral:sRNA from 1 species